UGGUCCUCACAUGGUUUUGGUGCCUAAGUCUACGUUACACAACUGGAUGAGUGAAUUCAAGAGAUGGGUGCCAACACUUAGGUCUGUUUGUUUAAUAGGCGAUAAAGAACAGAGGGCUGCUUUUGUCAGAGAUGUUUUGUUACCAGGAGAAUGGGAUGUAUGUGUAACUUCUUAUGAAAUGCUUAUUAAAGAGAAGUCUGUUUUCAAAAAAUUUAAUUGGAGAUACUUGGUUAUUGAUGAAGCUCACAGGAUCAAAAAUGAAAAAUCCAAGUUGUCAGAAAUAGUGAGGGAAUUCAAGACUACAAAUCGACUAUUAUUAACUGGAACACCUCUUCAAAACAACUUGCAUGAACUUUGGUCACUUCUUAAUUUUUUGUUACCAGAUGUCUUUAAUUCAGCUGAUGACUUCGAUUCCUGGUUUGAUACAAAUAAUUGCCUUGGGGAUCAAAAGCUAGUUGAGAGGCUUCAUAUGGUUUUGCGUCCAUUCCUCCUUCGUCGAAUUAAGGCUGAUGUUGAAAAGAGUUUACCUCCAAAGAAGGAAGUAAAAAUCUAUGUGGGUCUUAGCAAAAUGCAAAGGGAAUGGUAUACUCGGAUAUUAAUGAAGGAUAUAGAUAUACUGAACUCUGCAGGAAAGAUGGACAAAAUGCGGCUGCUGAACAUUCUGAUGCAGUUGCGGAAAUGCUGUAACCACCCCUAUCUCUUUGAUGGGGCUGAACCGGGUCCACCUUACACAACGGACAUGCAUCUGGUUACCAACAGUGGCAAAAUGGUGGUGUUAGACAAACUGCUCCCUAAAUUAAAAGAACAAGGUUCGCGAGUACUGAUCUUCAGUCAGAUGACCAGGGUAUUGGAUAUUUUGGAAGAUAAUUGCAUGUGGAGGAAUUAUGAGUACUGUAGGUUGGAUGGACAGACACCCCAUGAUGAGAGACAAGAGUCCAUCAAUGCGUACAAUGAACCAAACAGCACAAAGUUUGUUUUUAUGUUAAGCACAUGAGCUGGUGGUCUUGGCAUCAAUCUUGCUACUGCUGAUGUUGUGAUUUUGUAUGACUCAGAUUGGAAUCCCCAAGUAGAUCUUCAGGCUAUGGACCGAGCACAUAGAAUUGGACAGACCAAGACAGUCAGAGUGUUCCGCUUCAUAACUGACAACACUGUAGAAGAAAGAAUAGUGGAGCGUGCCGAGAUGAAGCUCAGACUGGAUUCCAUCGUCAUCCAGCAGGGAAGACUUGUGGAUCAGAAUCUGAACAAAAUUGGAAAAGAUGAGAUGCUUCAAAUGAUAAGGCAUGGGGCAACACAUGUAUUUGCUUCAAAGGAGAGUGAGAUUACUGAUGAGGAUAUUGAUGGUAUUUUGGAAAGAGGUGCAAAGAAGACUGCAGAGAUGAAUGAAAAGCUCUCCAAGAUGGGUGAAAACUCACUUAGAAAUUUUACAAUGGAUACAGAGUCAAGCGUUUAUAACUUUGAAGGAGAAGAUUACAGAGAAAAACAAAAGAUUGCAUUCACAGAGUGGAUUGAGCCUCCUAAACGAGAAAGAAAAGCCAACUAUGCUGUCGAUGCCUAUUUCAGGGAAGCUCUUCGCGUCAGUGAACCUAAAGCACCCAAGGCUCCUCGACCUCCAAAACAACCCAGUGUUCAGGAUUUCCAGUUCUUUCCUCCAUGUCUAUUUGAAUUAUUGGAAAAAGAAAUUCUGUAUUACAGAAAAACAAUUGGUAAUAAGGUCCCUCGAAAUCCUGACCUACCAAAUGCAGCACAGGCACAGAAGGAAGAACAGCUUAAAAUUGAUGAAGCUGAACCCCUUAAUGAUGAAGAGUUAGAGGAAAAAGAGAAGCUUCUGACGCAGGGAUUUACCAAUUGGAAUAAGAGAGAUUUUAACCAGUUUAUCAAAGCUAAUGAGAAGUGGGGUCGUGAUGAUAUUGAAAAUAUAGCAAGAGAAGUAGAGGGAAAAACUCCAGAAGAAGUCAUUGAAUACUCAGCUGUGUUCUGGGAAAGAUGCAAUGAGCUGCAGGACAUAGAAAAGAUUAUGGCUCAGAUCGAGAGAGGAGAGGCGAGAAUUCAGAGGAGAAUUAGCAUCAAAAAAGCACUUGACACGAAGAUCGGACGGUACAAAGCACCUUUUCAUCAGCUGAGAAUAUCUUAUGGUACUAACAAAGGGAAAAACUACACUGAAGAGGAAGACCGUUUCCUGAUCUGUAUGCUUCACAAGCUUGGAUUCGACAAGGAAAAUGUGUAUGAUGAGCUGCGGCAGUGUAUUCGCAACUCUCCUCAGUUCAGAUUCGACUGGUUUCUAAAGUCCAGAACCGCAAUGGAACUCCAGAGGAGGUGUAACACCUUAAUUACCUUGAUUGAAAGAGAAAAUAUGGAACUAGAAGAAAAGGAGAAGGCAGAGAAGAAGAAAAGAGGACCCAAACCUUCAACACAGAAACGUAAAAUGGAUGGAGCACCUGAUGGCCGAGGAAGAAAAAAGAAGCUGAAACUAUGAAUACAUAUUUGUUUCAUAAUCACUAACUUUAAACCAGUAGUUCUUUAAUUUACGGGUCUUCAUAAGAUGUACUGUACAAUGCUCAAUUGUUAUGUCAUUCAACGACAUCAGGUUCAUCUGUUUACCGAGCUAGAGACAUAGUAUGUAGUUUCACUUUUUUAAAUGCAACAGCUGUGCUGAAAUUUUUUUAUCAUUAACACUUGAAGUAAUAAAAUAGGCUUCAUUUAUUAA